UACGUAGGGGGCAAGCGUUGUCCGGAUUUAUUGGGCGUAAAGAGCGUGUAGGCGGCCAGACAGGUCUGCUGUGAAAACUCGAGGCUCAACCUCGAGAUGUCGGCGGAAACCGUCUGGCUAGAGUCCGGAAGAGGAGAGUGGAAUUCCUGGUGUAGCGGUGAAAUGCGCAGAUAUCAGGAAGAACACCUAUGGCGAAGGCAGCUCUCUGGGACGGUACUGACGCUGAGACGCGAAAGCGUGGGGAGCGAACAGG
rnacentral:rRNA from 2 species